GAUUUUCCGUGCGUGAACGAUCGCCCGCUUGUGAAAAGUUAGUGCGACGCAGUGUUUCGUCUACGUAAGAUACCACUUUCACAAGAACAAAAAGGUUAUAAGUGCGAAGAGCGUGCCGUGCGGUGGUUUAACUGCAAGGACGUUGACGACUUCACCCCUGGGGAUGUCUUCAGUGCUUACUGGGAGCGGCGAUGAGAAGACCAAAGUCGGCUCUACGACACCGUGCUUCUGCAUAUGACAGUCCAAACAAGAAAUGGACCAAUGUUUCAAUGCAUACGGAACAAAAAAAAAAGAUACGCCGACCAGCCCAAACAAACAUUUAUGACGUCUCGGCUUUCAGCACGCAAGCCUUGAUCACAAUGAAUGCAUCACCAGAAGUGCUUCGUUUAAAUGGGCUUGAGUAAUCACUGCAAAGGCUGUGCGUAAAUGGGGUUUCGAUUUCCGUCGUUAAGAUUAACUCUCUUGCAAAUGGUCUGUAUGAUAAGUGAUUCUGUACGUCACCGAGAUGCUGCCAUGUUUUCUAUUGUGACGAUUUUUGCGUUGGUCCAAUCAAUCUUGUGGUCAUUCAUCACGGCGUGUUCAGCUAAAGCGUUGUUGUGGACGCUCUUAUUUUUUGUCACGAGCGUGCUGCUGCAGACGCUUCUUGUAGUUUCCUGACUCUCCGAUGUAAACACUCUUGCAGUCUGCCAAGGUAUCUAGUAAACUACACUGGGGAAUUGCUCCCUGGGCAGGCGGUCCUUCACUCUUACAAGUUGAUGGCGCAUCUUUUUGGGUGAAAUGUGUGCCACAUACAUGUCAUACUCAUGUCGGACAUGUGCCAAACAUUCGCUUGUUGCAGAAAUAUGCGUUACAGGGGCUCGCUUCGUAGACGCGGGGGCCAGCAGGGAGGAAGUGCGUCAAGGUGUCAUUGUCAUGACAGCUGAAUUUCGCCUCUGUGCACUCCGCUUUCAACAAGAGGGCUGUUGUCAGCACGCUGCUACAGCAUGCCAAAAGAUUGGGCUCAAAGCCACAUGAUGCAGGCAUGGCAAAGGUACGGGAUGACCUCGCUCAUUGUGGAUACCCUAGGCACUUUACCAGUGCAAUAGACUGUCAACUGUCAUGACGGGUACACACUUACGUGCCUGCUUCCUGCUGGCCCCCUCCUCUACGAAGCAAGCCCCCGUACCGUAUAUUUCUUGAACAAACGAAUGUUUGGCACAUGUCCUACGUGAGUAUGACAUGUAUGUGGCACAAAUUCCACCCGAAAGUUCGUGCCAUCAACUUAUGUGAGUGAAGGAUCACCUGCCCAGGGAGCGUUUCCCCAGUGUAGUUUUACUAGGUACCUUGAGCAGACUGCAAGGGUGUUCACAUCUGAGUCAGGAAACUGCAAGAAGCGUAUGCAACAGUAUGCCUGUGAUGUAAAUAAUACAAGCAUUCGCAACAAAGCUUCAGCAGAACACGCCAUGAUGAAUGACUACAAGAUUGAUUGGACCAACGCAAGAAUCGUCACAGCAGAAAAAGUGACAGCAUCUUGGCUACGUAUGGAAUCGUUUAUCAUGCAGACCACUUCUAAAAGAGGCAUGGCAAAGGUACGGGAUAACCUUAACAACAGAAAUCUAAACGUGAUCAAUGCGAGGUCCUUGCAGCAAUUUCUCAAACCUAUUCAAAUGAACCGCCUCUGCUGAUGCAUUCAUUGUCAACAAGGCUUCCAUGCUCAAAGCCGAAACGUGAUAAACGUUUGUUUGGUCUGGUCGGCAUCUCUUUUUGUUUCAAAUGUACGGUGCCGGCCACACGGGAUUCCUUCACGCUGCCGACUUCCAUGCCAACACAAAGAGUGCAGAAACCGCAACAGAAGGCCACUUGCCACUUCGUUGCAAAGGAGACUACUAAGGAGGCGUUUCUGGAUGACACGGCCUGUUCGAGCCUUCCAUUGUGGGAUGAAUAGUUAUUCCCAUCAUUAGAGCCUUCACCAAAUGAGAUUGGAGGUUCAGCACAGUGUUGCUAUGGCAGCAACAACUGCGCCUGCUACUGACUCUGCUGCCACCUCAUAUCCUGCAGCGAGACCAACUAUAUGUGCUGCCUCUUCUGGUCCUGCAGCCUUAGCAGUCACACUGCCUUCUGCCUCUGAUGCUGACAUGUCGCAGUGUUCGUUCAGCAAGGAUGAACAGCUAAGAUAAUCAAGGAUCCACAAGGAGUAUUAUAGGUUGACCUGCCUAACGGUGGGACGCUAUCAAGGACCGCCUCGAGAAAGGACUUCCAUUUGGUUCAGCGGUCCACCAUCGCAAUAUGGUGGACAGAUGCCCACGCACAUAGGAGCUUCACGGGAACGAACCGUUUUGCAGUAGCAGGCGGCCAGAAGCCUGCACAUCGGCCAU
rnacentral:lncRNA from 1 species